AUUGAACGCUGGCGGCAUGCCUUACACAUGCAAGUCGAACGGCAGCACGGGUGCUUGCACCUGGUGGCGAGUGGCGAACGGGUGAGUAAUACAUCGGAACGUGCCCAGUCGUGGGGGAUAACGUAGCGAAAGCUACGCUAAUACCGCAUACGAUCUAAGGAUUAAAGCGGGGGAUCGCAAGACCUCGCGCGAUUGGAGCGGCCGAUGGAAGAUUAGGUAGUUGGUAGGGUAAAGGCCUACCAAGCCGACGAUCUGUAGCUGGUCUGAGAGGACGACAAGCCACACUGGGACUGAGACACGGCCCAGACUCCUACGGGAGGCAGCAGUGGGGAAUUUUGGACAAUGGACGCAAGUCUGAUCCAGCCAUUCCGCGUGCAGGAUGAAGGCCCUCGGGUUGUAAACUGCUUUUGUACAGAACGAAAAAGCUCUGGUUAAUACCUGGAGCUCAUGACGGUACUGUAAGAAUAAGCACCGGCUAACUACGUGCCAGCAGCCGCCGUAA
rnacentral:rRNA from 1 species